UAAUUAAUUAUAUUAAACUUAAAAUCAGUAGAAAAGGGAUUUAGGGUUAGAAUACGUGACCUUUCACCUCUCACGCGAAGUUCAGGAUCUCUCUUCAUCCUUCUUCACUCGCGGCGGCGCACCAUUUCCUCUCCGAUGGAGCUCAAACCACCGCCGCGUCCUUCGCCUCAAUCUUCUUCAUGUCAAAUCGAUGCCUCCCUCAGCUCGUCUUCGGUUACUGGAGUGGAGAACAAACGCGAAACGGAAAGAAUACCAGAAAGAUUCCAAGAGCUCCAAAUGCGAAACAAACACGAGGAAACGGAGAAAUUAUUCAGGGCUGACUUGGAACAAAUUUAUGAACUGAAACCGUAUGUCUUCCGUGAGCUGAAAUGAAGUGCAUAGAAUUCCGAGCUCGGUAUUUUCAAAUGAAUUUGAUUUUUUUGCCGGUUAUGCAGGCUUUGACUACUGUACUGAUGUUGCAGAGUUCGCUUGCAGCCGAUUAGAGAAUGAGACAUGGUGGUUUGUAAUGAAUGGCGAUUCGACGAUGUCGGUUCAACGUGUUAUUUUUGCAAGAUACAUCAAUGUGCUCCUUAACAACCCCAACCGGUGAAUCACACCGUUUCAACUUCCAUCCAGCAUUACGAUCAUACAGAGAAUUAUAACUUCAGAUUUCUGAGCUUCAUGAGAAGAUCCAGCGAAUGCAGUUCGUUGAAGAACAUCGGCACAAGGUUCCAGAAUAGGAGUGCGUUCUUGGUACAUGCUCGGUGUAGAACGUAUCAAUGAAUUCAUCGUGCCUGAUCGAGUGUAAUGCAAUUGACGGUUCAAAGUUGUAAUGAACCUCCCUCUUUUGUAAUAUACUUUUAUGCAGGAUUUUGGUUAGGAUUUUCUCCUGCUGCAAAGUUGCAUUUUUGUUGUAGUUUUUUCAAUUCUGGCCUUUUUGUAAUGUGUGAUGGAUGUAUUGGUUUUGGAUAUGGCUUCCUCUUGUUUGAUGUAUCAUGAUCUUUUUAUGAACAUUUGAUGUUCAGGUUGCUUUAUGUACAGUACCAAUGUGUAGGCCCGAGAUCUUCUGGAACUGAAUGUGACUGGCUAGCAUGAGCAUUGUUUA